GCACUGCACCCUACAUUUUACGUGAUGAACUGGGGGCUCACAUAGGAAAUGACUAGCCUAAGAUGGCAGAGCAAGAACUGGAUCCUGGAUUGGAAUGCAUUGAGCAUGUGGCUCUAUCCUGAGGGUGGAGGUCUAGGGGGCCGGGAGAACUUGACAAUGGAUUUAGUCCACCUGGAAUCAGGCUCAAUCUUCAGAUGCCUCAGCCCUCCCCGAGCCCUGACCACAAGCCAAAUGGCGCUGGACCACAGUAUCAGGGUUCUCCAGCGACUCCAUCCUCCAGGGAGGAAGAGGUGGUGAAUUUCCGAGCUGGGACAGAACCCAGAGUGGCUGGAGCAGGCCAGCACCUCGCCUCAUAUACUUGGAGCCUGGAGACAUCAGGCAGCAAAUGAGAAGCAUUUUAAGGUCACAUCUCUGGGUGCUAUAAGACCCUCAAGUUUGGAACAGAUAUCUGUCCAGUCCCCAAAGACAAGAGGCUGGAAAUAGGGAGGAAAGA
rnacentral:lncRNA from 10 species